GGGAAAGGUAACAUCCAAGUUGUGUACCAUCCUGAGCAGUCUGAUGAAGUCUUUAACUGACCUCCAUCCCAUCCUACCCUAUCAGAUGCUGUCUUUCCCUGGACACAGGUCGUGUCCAGUGCCUACACUGCUUGCUGCUCACUAAGAGCCUGUCUUCACUCUUAAUCAGCUCUCUUGCUGUCACACUCUGUGUUCAAGGAACCUUCACUCACAGAGUAGGAGUGCCAAGGGAGUCUGGAGAGGUCAAAGGAAAGCCAAGAAAGCUGAAAGAGAAUGCUUCUUCUCAUUGAGAAAUUCAAAGAUCCCAGUAAGAAAAACAAUCACAUGUGAAGUUUGCUGAGCUCUCAGCAAGAACAACCUUUCUAACGGAAGUUUUAAGCAGGAGAAAAUGCGUACAAUUCGACGCUGACGCUGCAGUGCCUUGGAGGUGAUCGGCAAAGGCAUCAGUAUCAUUGGGGGAGAUGUGAAGAAAACAGUCCCCUGACUGCUGCUGUCCCUCCAUGCUGAGCUGAGUCUGAGACUUAGGGAUUCCCUGGAACAAGAGACACCUCCACACCCGAGAGCAAGCAUUGCAUCAUGAGACAGAUUCUUGGAACUAAGAUGUGGUAAAGAAAGCAGGAGACAAUGGAGAGAGGUUGUAUUCCACGACUGGUAAGACGUGUCCAAGGACCAGCAAGAGGUCAGCUUCAAAGAGUGCCCACGGCACAGGUCUAACGCUUCAUCCUCCAACCUAUGGCAGAAGGGGAGAGAUGACUUCUGAAAGUUGUCCCCUGACCUUUACAUCUGCGCUGUGGGUGGACACACCCUCAGACCCACGUCACACACACUAAAGGAGUUACUAGAGCAGCAGGACGCAAGCAGCAUACUUGUGUGCAAUGGUCUGUGAGCUAAUUGUUUCUGAGGAGCAAAAAACAAAACAGAAUGGGGAGGGAAAAAGCAACCCAGAUAGUAGCAUCUCGUAUGAGCCAUCAGUUGAGCCGUUGCUAUGUUAGUAAGAGACGCUUUGGGGUUUUUCUGCCCUGUGUUGCUGUAGUUACUGUCCACAGAAUCAUGCGACUGUCUACUCA